rnacentral:rRNA from 1 species
GCGUGCCUAACACAUGCAAGUGGAGCGACGAACCGGGCUUCGGCCCGGGGCAAAGCCGCGAACGGGUGAGUAACACGUGGGUAACCUGCCCUGAUGAUCGGGACAACUCGAGGAAACUCGGGCUAAUACCGAAUGUGCCCCCUGGCCGUAAGGCCUCUGGGGAAAGGAAGCUUCGGCCUCCGCAUCGGGAUGGGCCCGCGGCCCAUUAGCUUGUUGGUGAGGUAAAGGCUCACCAAGGCAACGAUGGGUAGCUGGUCUGAGAGGACGAUCAGCCACACUGGGACUGAGACACGGCCCAGACUCCUACAGGAGGCAGCAGUGGGGAAUCUUGCGCAAUGCGCGAAAGCGUGACGCAGCAACGCCGCGUGGGGGAAGAAGGCCUUCGGGUUGUAAACCCCUUUCAGUUGGGACGAAGCUUCGGCGGUGAAUAGCCGUCUGAAGUGACGGUACCUUCAGAAGAAGCCCCGGCUAACUACGUGCCAGCAGCCGCGGUAAUACGUAGGGGGCAAGCGUUGUCCGGAAUCAUUGGGCGUAAAGAGCGUGUAGGCGGCUUGGUAAGUCUGCUGUGAAAGUCCAGGGCUCAACCCUGGAAUGCCGGUGGAAACUGUCAAGCUUGAGUCCGGAAGAGGCGAGUGGAAUUCCUGGUGUAGCGGUGAAAUGCGCAGAUAUCAGGAGGAACACCAAUGGCGAAGGCAGCUCGCUGGGACGGUUACUGACGCUGAGACGCGAAAGCGUGGGGAGCAAACAGGAUUAGAUACCCUGGUAGUCCACGCCGUAAACGAUGGGCACUAGGUUGUGGGGGGGUGUCGACUCCCCUCCGUGCCGACGCUUAACGCAUUUAAGUUGCCCC